AAAAUAUAGUGCCUCAUGACCAGGUGGAUGCAACCCUUAUUCCUAUUACAAAUUUCAGCUGUGGGAUAUUUGCUGGUAUUCUGGCCUCACUGGUAACUCAACCUGCGGAUGUUAUCAAAACUCAUAUGCAGCUUUAUCCACUGAAGUUUCAAUGGAUUGGCCAAGCAGUGACACUUAUUUUCAAAUUCUGACAUUUAUUUUCACCAUAGGACUAUGGACUACGUGGCUUCUUCCAAGGUGGCAUCCCCCGAGCCCUCCGCAGAACUCUAAUGGCAGCAAUGGCGUGGACGGUGUAUGAAGAGAUGAUGGCCAAGAUGGGCCUGAAGUCCUGACCAAGAGAGGACUGGGAACGGGUGAAAUCUGUUGCCCUGCUUGGUUUCUGCCAAGGGCUGCUGCUUCUUACUAUUCUGCAGUAAGAUGAAGUCCUACCUGGAAAACCAGGCAGAAAUUGUGUUGCCUUUGCCUUCAGUAAUCCCCUUAAGGAGAAAAUAUAUGGACCUGAUUUCAGCCUUCAGAAUCUCCAAAAGAGGAGUCAUCAAUUCAUAGAGCACACUAGGGUGUUAGGAGAGAGCUUUGCAUACUCUGAGAGGCUACUUGGAAAGGCAUUUUCCCAGGAGAGCUCUGUCAGGUGGCUGCGCUUCAGCCCCACCCCUACACCACAGGGUCUCCUUGGGUAUGUUCUUGGGCAAGCAAUCACAAAGCCAGAGAAGCUGUAAGCUGCCUGCCGGGCCUGAGGAGCUCCAACCAGGGAAGACUGGAUGUGAGGAGAGGAGUCACUGUCACCAGGUCACAGACUGACUGAGGUGAUGGUAGGAUGAGGAGGAACAGAUGCCCUUCUUUAAUUGGUUCUCAGUUAACUUCUCAGAGGCUCUGGAGAACGGGACAGUGGCUUUCUAGCCUCUGAAUGUUCCAAAUAAAAUUUUUUGGUCUUGGCCCCUGUACUGUUUUACCUCUAAAUUCUGGCAUUUUUUUUUCCCUGCAAUUAAAGUGCUG
rnacentral:lncRNA from 1 species